UGCGUACGCCGUAGCUUUCAUCUUCAGAAGAGCCGAUGCACUUCUUGCGCUUAUCCCACUAGCCGUAUCCGCAAGUAUAACCGGAGUGUGAAGGCCAUUACGAGGAAGACAACCGGAAUGGGAAGGAUGAGGUAUUUACAUCAUGUGCCUCAAAGGUUCAAGUGCAAUUUCAGAGAAGGGACCCAAGUAGCUCCGAGGAAGACAACUGCUGCUGCAUAGAGGAAUUGCUUCAGUUUUGGGGCAUGUCUCAAGUAUCCAGUUCCUGUAUUUGAUCUUGUUGAAUUUUAUCAAUUAGGUUCUUUUACACUGGAGAUAUUGCUAUCUUCUAUAGAGAAUAAACUUUUCGAUAUCUUAAAUUGCCGAAUAAGCAUGAAGUUUUUGUAUUGGGAUAAACCAUUCUUUGGUAUAAACAUGAAGUUUUGAUGUUGGGAUAAACCAUUCUUUCCUUUUCUGUAUAUUUGCCAGUUACAUUUUCCAGCUCAAGCAGGAGGAUUUCUGUUGACCCUUUCGAUAGACCUAAUGCCCAAGAAAUCAGAAAGAGCAAAAAUAGGUUUGCUGGUCUUAUGUCUAAUGUUCACGAUCUUGGUAA